UUUUAGCCUUGGGUGAAGUAAAAAUCCUUUUUGAGGCUUUUCGGUCCUCAAAAAGAUUACUUUACGAUAUUUU
rnacentral:misc_RNA from 1 species